rnacentral:lncRNA from 1 species
GUUGAAGCAAGAGAUUAUAUUAUAUUUCGAAACAUAGUCUAUUACAAGGCUAAAGCAAAAUUAGACUAAGAAAUAAACUAACUAUUACAAAAAUAGUUAAAAAAAAGAAAGAGAAUUCCACAUGUGAUAGAAAAAAGUCGCACUAGUCCCCACUCUGCAUAUUCUAGAUUUGGAUAUUAGUAGCGUUUAGCAAAGAUAAAACAAUAAACGAAACAUAAAAUUAAAGAAAGAAACUUUGUUAUUACCUUUGUAGACUACAAGGCUAGUUUCUGGUGGCAUCUUUCUAUCAUCAAAACGUCACCAAAAAGAUAGGAGCAUAUAUAUAGCUAAAUUUCGACACUCUCGUAAAAGGACUUUAUAUAAAUUAUAAGUUUGUUGAAGCAAAAAUAGUUUAAAAUAUUGAUGCUUGGGAAACUGUGCGAGCCCAAUGAAUCAUUCAAAAUAUUAUUCAUUCAUUGGAAAUAUUUUAAGCACGCUAGCAAUAACAAGAACAAAAAAUUAUGAUUCAUUAAGCCACACAAUUUCUAAAGCACCCUCAUUUUUAAAUAAAUUUUUUAACUUCAACCAACUUAUCUUAACAAAGACCCGUGACGAGAGUGCUGAAAAAUAGCUCACUUUCUCGAUACAUUAUUAGAUGUGACCACUGCCAUUCCUGCAAAAAGGAGCACAAUUAAUCAAUUUCGAUAUAUAUAUAUAUAUAUAUAUAUAUAUAUAUAUAUAUAGAUANUAUAUAGUAUAUAUAUAUAUAUAUAUAUAUAUAUAUAUAUAUAUAUAUAUAUGCAUUGUAAAUUUUGAACACUUUCGAGAAUAAAUGUAGCAACUUUAAAAAUUAGACGAAUAGAAAAUACUAGAAAGCAUGAGCAAUAUCGAAAGAGUUAGUAAAUUAAUUUAAACAAAAAAGCAAAAUAAAAUUAAAUAAAAACAUUUAACAGUGAUUUACUGUAUGACGCACAUCAAAGCAACUUUUAUUGCAGUGACAAAAAUAGUACACAAGCAAACGUGCAGGGCAUCUAUAUUGCUUCUUCUAGUAAAGAAACAGUUUUAAAAAUCCGAAAGUGAAAAAACUAACCACCAAUUUAAAUGAAUUACUGAUGAUAAAAAAAUUUUACUUCUCCCUUCCCCAAAAAAUAUCUACUUCUCACAAUCAUAAAAAAAAUUAACAAUGAAUACUUUGAAUUACAAAAAAAAUACUGCUUAGAAUUAGAAAGAAGAUCUCCAAAUCUUUAAAAAAAAUGAAAAAAAAAAGAGCAAAAUAAACGGUAGAUUUGAAAAUUAAUGGAAAGAGCUUACUUACCUUGACGCCGUAAUCAAAUCUCCACCGGCAGAAACUUCAUCAAAAGCCAGCUGCAGCUGAAGUUCCUCGUGCAGAUUGCUGCGAGUAGUGGUUGGGAGAGGAAGCGAUUGUAGAGAUGGUAGAA